CCUACGGGUGGCAGCAGUGAGGAAUAUUGGUCAAUGGACGAGAGUCUGAACCAGCCAAGUAGCGUGAAGGAUGACUGCCCUAUGGGUUGUAAACUUCUUUUAUAAAGGAAUAAAACGAGGCACGUGUGCCUUUUUGCAUGUACUUUAUGAAUAAGGAUCGGCUAACUCCGUGCCAGCAGCCGCGGUAAUACGGAGGAUCCGAGCGUUAUCCGGAUUUAUUGGGUUUAAAGGGGGCGUAGAUGGGGUGUUAAGUCAGUUGUGAAAGUUUGCGGCUCAACCGUAAGCUUGCAAUUGAUACUGGCAGUCUUGAGUACAGUUGAGGUAGGCGGAAUUCGUGGUGUAGCGGUGAAAUGCAUAGAUAUCACGAAGAACCCCGAUUGCGAAGGCAGCUUACUAAACUGUGACUGACAUUGAUGCUCGAAAGUGUGGGUAUCGAACGGGAUUAGAUACCCUGGUAGUC
rnacentral:rRNA from 1 species